rnacentral:rRNA from 1 species
UACGGGGGGGGGCAAGCGUUUGUUCGGAAUUACUGGGCGUAAAGGGCUCGUAGGCGGCCAACUAAGUCAGACGUGAAAUCCCUCGGCUUAACCGGGGAACUGCGUCUGAUACUGGAUGGCUUGAGUUCGGGAGAGGGAUGCGGAAUUCCAGGUGUAGCGGUGAAAUGCGUAGAUAUCUGGAGGAACACCGGUGGCGAAGGCGGCAUCCUGGACCGAUACUGACACUGAGGCACGAAAGCGUGGGGAGCAAACAGG